AUUGAACGCUGGCGGCAUGCCUAACACAUGCAAGUCGAGCGAGCGGCGGACGGGUGAGUAAUGUCUGGGAAACUGCCGGAUGGAGGGGGAUAACUACUGGAAACGGUAGCUAAUACCGCAUACCAUCCGAUUUGCCCAGAUGGGAUUAGCUAGUAGGUGGGGUAAUGGCUCACCUUGGCGACGAUCCCUAGCUGGUCUGAGAGGCUGACCAGCCACACUGGGACUGAGACAAGGUCCAGACUCCUACGGGAGGCAGCAGUGGGGAAUAUUGCACAAUGGGCGCAAGCCUGAUGCAGCCAUGCCGCGUGUAUGAAGAAGGCCGUCGGGUUGUAAAGUACUUUCAGCGAGGAGGCGUUACUCGAAGAGGAAGCACCGGCUAACUCCGUGCCAGCAGCCGCGGUAAUUC
rnacentral:rRNA from 1 species